UGCUACUCCAGUAACACUGUUACUAACACUGCAAUGAUACAGGGAAGAUUGGUAUGGCCUCAGCGCAACAAUGACAUGCAAAUUUGUGAAGCAUUCCACAUAUUU